GAUGAACGCUGGCGGCGUGCCUAAUACAUGCAAGUCGAGCGAACGGACGAGAAGCUUGCUUCUCUGAUGUUAUCGGCGGACGGGUGAGUAACACGUGGAUAACCUACCUAUAAGACUGGGAUAAUUUCGGGAAACCGUAUCUAAUACCGGAUAAUAUUUUGAACCUCAUGGGUCAAAAGUGAAAGACGGUCUUUCUUUCACUUAUAGAUGGAUCCGCGCUGCAUUAGCUAGUUGGUAAGGUAACGGCUUACCAAGGCAACGAUGCAUAGCCGACCUGAGAGGGUGAUCGGCCACACUGGAACUGAGACACGGCCCAGACUCCUACGGGAGGAAGCAGUAGGGAAUCUUACGCAAUGGGCGAAAGCCUGACGGAGCAACGCCGCGUGAGUGCUGAAGGUCUUAGGCUCGUAAAACUAUGUUAUUAGGGAAGAACAUAUGUGUAAGUACCUGUGCACAUCUUGACGGUACCUAAUCAGAAAGCCACGGCUAACUACGUG
rnacentral:rRNA from 1 species